UAAAUACAUGGUCCCAACAUGAAAGUAAUCACCAGAUAUAUACGCAAAUAAAAAAGUUUAAACGUCCAUAUGUUGAAAACAUUCACCAUCCACUUUAUUUGAAGAAUUUCUCAUUUUGCAGGGAUGGACUGCGUUGGAACAGGGCUGCACCGCAAAAGCAUGGGCUAACUACCGCAUAAAUAAGUCCGUCAAGCUCCGUCAUAUUUUAAUGGCGGACUGACUGGGAAGUUUUUGGAACGGCAAAACCUUAUGGACCAUCCCUUCAACGGAUGGUGGAAGGUGGAUGGAUCUCUGUGGAAAUACGGUAUAACAACACCAUAAGCGCUUUUUCCUUGCCACCCAAGCUGGCAAAUGCCACGAUAACAUUAUGGAUAUCCUGCUGGGCAUGAAAGAGUUCCAUAACCUCACUUAUAAUUAUAAUUUUUUAUUCAAUUUGUUUGGACUUGCGAAAAUUCACCGAGAUUUCUGUAAAGGGGAGACGUAUUCGGGAAAACUUUGGGGUUUGGAGGUUAACGCUCCCCCAGGCAGCAAAUUGUAUUAAGAGUAGAUUAAGCAGUUAUUUAAACGUUCUGAUAAGCUUUAA